rnacentral:lncRNA from 1 species
ACGGUCCCGAUGCCUCAUCCAUAGUUGCUUUGCACGACGACGCGAUUUGUGUCUAAUCUAACCUUUCCAAACUGAUUACAGAGACCACGUCAUUCCAGGUUCAUGUUUCGAACAUAAAAUUUUUCCUCUUCAGUUCAUCUUCUGAACUAAUCUGACGUUUACGCCAUGUGUGUUAAUUUACCGUUCACUUCAAGUCACAAAAUAUCCAUUGUAUUAGGUCAACACCAAGUUAAGAACCGCAAGUGUCGGUCAUCAGGAUCGGAGAUAAUAGUAGUUAACAGAGGAUCGUUGUUGGCGUCACGAGGAACAGCAACAGAGAUGAACCCUCCAAGUCACUUUCAGAGUGGUUCUUGACCAGUUCUAGGUCAAGAGUUCUGAUACGGAGCUAGGAUCCUUUUGGUUGAGCUUUUGAACUUGCUGUGGCUUCUCCAAAAGCCAAUCAAAGGGGUUGACUUUCACCCAAAGCUAUAGCCAAAAGCAACUUCCCCCUAGUGUAUUUUUGAUAGCAGCUCAAACCUUGCUUCCACCGGCUGCAACUUCUAACUUUUCAGAAAAUUACCCACGCUUCCACUCGUAAUUCACGUACCCCUUCGUUUCUUUUCUUCUCCGUCAGCUCUCGCUCGCUCGUUCCUCUCUUGCGGCGGCGCCUGCUCCCUCUCCGGCGCCCCUCUCCGCCUCCCUCCACUCUCCUCCUCCCAAGCCGGCGUCCACUCUCCUUCUCCUAGGCCGGUGGCGGCACAACUCCUCCAUCCUCUUCCUCCUCCGCCGCCAUGUACCGGCGCCCGUGGAGGAGAGGACGAGGAGGAGAGGGAGGGGGAGGAUACCGGUGCUGGUUGCCGCCGCAAGCACCGCUUCGCCGUUGAGAUCCGCGGCGCCCGCUUCAAGGCCACCUCGUUGCGCGCUUCCCGUCCUCCCGGGCUCCGACGGCGGUGUAGCUCCUGGCUGGCCGCCCCUCUCCAGCGACCACCCCUUCAAGGUGGAGCUCAGGUGGUGACGUAACUUCGGGUGGUGGCGAUUUGGUUUUGGUGGGCGGAGCUAAGGGAAUUUGAUCAGUGGAGGAGCUCUAGGUGUGGGGCAAUGGCAGCAGGGAAAACUCAAAUCCCCAACGGGGAAGUGAUCUCGCGUGACGUCGAGUGGUGGCUAGUGAGGUGAAGGGGGUGUGGGCAUGGGAGAUUUGAUGAUGGUGGAGUACGCCUGGAGUAUUUGUCUAGUGAGUGGAGCUUGCUCAGCUCGAGCAGGCGCAAGCGGAGGAGCUGUGGCUGAGCAGCUGCAGCUGGGUGGCAGAGCGGUGGAGCAACAAUAACGGUGGACGGGCAGCAGCGCGGCAAAGCAGCAGCAAUAGUGGAUAUGUUGCAAGAGCGGCGGAGUAGCAGUUGAUGCCUGGACCUACGUGGAAGAGAGGAGAGAGCGGAUAGGUAGCAAGAGCAACAGAGCAACAGCUUGUGUCCUGUGCGGUUGGGAGAUAAGAUAAGGAAUGAAAGGGGAAUAGAUAAGGACGGAUAAAGAAAAUUAAAAAAAUUAUUGAUUAUUGGUUAAUCUAUAAUUAUAUUCAUUAACCAUUUUCAUUUCAUAUAUAAAUGGUGUUAUAAAUUGAAGAAAACAUAAAUUCAUAAAAAUCAGAGAACAACAUAGUAUUUUACGAUCAAUUUGUAUAUCAACAAUAUCUCAAGCCUUCUCAAGCUUUCGAGGGCAUUACAGAUAUUUCUUAACAAAUCUACAGUUUCACAGCUAUUUCAACUAAAUAACUUUUAGCUCUUUCACAGCUCACAGCUCACACCAGCUUUUUCC